UGGGGAAUAUUGGACAAUGGGCGCAAGCCUGAUCCAGCCAUGCCGCGUGUGUGAAGAAGGCCUUUUGGUUGUAAAGCACUUUAAGCGAUGAGGAGGCUACUUGGAUUAAUACUCUAGGAUAGUGGACGUUACUCGCAGAAUAAGCACCGGCUAACUCUGUGCCAGCAGCCGCGGUAAUACAGAGGGUGCGAGCGUUAAUCGGAUUUACUGGGCGUAAAGCGUGCGUAGGCGGCUUCUUAAGUCGGAUGUGAAAUCCCUGAGCUUAACUUAGGAAUUGCAUUCGAUACUGGGAAGCUAGAGUAUGGGAGAGGAUGGUAGAAUUCCAGGUGUAGCGGUGAAAUGCGUAGAGAUCUGGAGGAAUACCGAUGGCGAAGGCAGCCAUCUGGCCUAAUACUGACGCUGAGGUACGAAAGCAUGGGGAGCAAACAGG
rnacentral:rRNA from 1 species